CUACAUGAAGCCGGAAUCGCUAGUAAUCGCGGAUCAGAAUGCCGCGGUGAAUACGUUCCCGGGUCUUGUACACACCGCCCGUCACACCAUGGGAGUCGGGAAUGCCCGAAGUCAGUGACCCAACCCAAGGGAGGGAGCUGCCGAAGGCAGGCCUGGUGACUGGGGUGAAGUCGUAACAAGGUAAC
rnacentral:rRNA from 1 species